rnacentral:lncRNA from 1 species
CAGAAGUUCCCAGGCCAGGGACAGAACCUGAGCCACAGCAGUGACAAUGAUGAAUCCCUAAUGCUAGACUCACUCUGCAUUCAUUUAUCUGAUGCAUCCUUAGGAGGGUCCUUCACCCGCCUGGGUCGCGCAUUGGAGGAUGGAGGGAGAUGGGGCAGGGAGAUCCCGUUUCCUGGGGCAGCUGGUCAGGUAAGCACAUCCAUGCACUCAGUGGUCACAAGUUCUACGGUAUUUGCAGAGGGGCCGCCAGCCCACAGGGAAGGGGGCGAUCUUUCCCAUAAUUUGAAUGACGCCUUGAUGAUACUUCAGACAGUCACUGAUAACGGUCAAAUCAACAGGAGUUCCGGGAGCCGGGAUGAGACCACCGUUUGGACUUCAAGCAGGAUGAUGACUCUACCACAGGAGCCUUUGUUCUCCGUGUCUGCAAAGUGGGUGACCUCUCCAGGGAGCCGCAAGGCUCAGCCAAGGUUCUGAAAGCAUUUCACAACAGCAUAGCCCUGCACACGCGACAGGGGUGUUAAAACGCCAAGAUCCAAACCCCUUUCUACAAGGGUUGACAACCUGGAAUUGAAAUGAUGACAGAUGCCGAAGUGGGGGGAAGAAAACGUGUUUACCACCGAGAGACUGAACAGAGCAAGGCUGGGAGGAGCGGCGCGAUUCCAAGUCAGCAGCCCCAGCCAGGCUCACGCCUAAUGCGCUUCCCACUCGGCCAGCAUCGGGGCAGCUCCUGACUUUUGGAACAGGUCUGUAAUCCCAAGGACAGUCUGUACAUUUUAAAUUAGAAAAAAAAAAAAAAAAUCCCUGCAAGACUUGGUUCACAUUCGUUAAGGGGAAGUGUUUAGGACCUCUGGCCUUUGAAAAGAAAUCUGACAUAACCCGCUCCUGGUGUAGUGAAAAGAAAGGGCUUUCCAGUUAGGUAGACAGGGUUUGAAUGCUGGCUCUGAGCCCUUCUGUAGCUGCUUUAUUAUCGCCUCGCUUCAGGAUAAUACUCUCUUUUCUGCAGGGUAAUAAUGAGAACCAUGUAUGUCCACAGCAUAGAUGCUCAAUAAACGGCAGCUGUGUUUUCCUUAGCGGGGAGACUUGGGGAACUAACAAAGCAAUGGGGUCUCAUCACCCAGAUGCUGGGCCAUUGGGGGGGGGACAUCGGCUCCUUGUGAAAGGGAAGGAGGUCCAGGGUGGUCCGGCCACCCAGGGCUAAGGCUGACCUCAGCUCCGCCUGGCAAAGGUGAGACCAGGAUAGCAUGUCUUUCCCAGAGAUGUGGGAAAGCUAAAUUAGACAGCAAAUCCAAGUAUGAGACCAGCCGUGUGCUCUGCGGCCCUCUGCGAUCCUGGCUGUGCGUGAGUGGAAUGCAUUAGGGUUUUCUGGAAGGGGGAGGGGGAGGGGACCUGUCUUAACUGGAGAGUGAGGAUGGCCCUGCUGCAGGCAGCCCUGGGCAGCUGGGAGCCCAGCCAGGAGCAGAAGCAGCGCCGCCAGUGGCUCUCCAUCAAAAUCACCCCAAAGCAACUGUUUAGAUAUUCAGAAUCCAGCUCUAUGUCGGGGUUUCACCGGCCAGGGGUGGGGCCUGGGAAGAAUCUGUUUUUUACUGGGACCCACUGUACUUCUGACACUUUUCCCAAGGGCAGGCUGGAGAACGGCUCCUGUGGUAGAGACGGGCCAGGCACUGGCCUCAGAAGGCCUUGGUUCAAGACCCAGCUGGGCGCCAGCUCUCAGGUCCAAUUUUAAAACUCUCUGAAAACACUGGGACUGGGCCCAGGGCAAGUCGGCUAGGACUUCUCUGCAGGCUGCAAAUGUUUGUUUAAACAGGGAAAUAUCCCUAUGAGCUAUUCACUAAAUUAUAUAUAUAAACCACAUACGUGUGUAUAGACGCACAUAUACACGCAUGCUUUCACAUGUGUAUAUGUUUAGACACACACAUAUACAUACACCUAUGCAGACACGUGUAUUCAUGUACAUGUGCAAGUAUACACACACACACACACGUGCAUAUGUACAUGCAGGCACGUACAAUUAUACACACACACACAUAUAUUUCAAUUAAUCCUCAUAAAUGCUCUACUCUGGAACUAACAGUCCUUUUUCCUGAUGAAGAAUCUGAUACGUGGAGAGGUUGUGAACUUGCCUGAGGUCACAUAGCCAGUCAGUGGUGGAGGCAGGACUGGAAACAAGACAGGCUGGAUCCAGAGGUCCGGUCCAUCCCACUCUAUUAGAACAGACGACCCAAGAGGUUCAACAGAGGAGAGACUGAGAGUCAUAAACUGAAACAAGCAACCUGCUCCCCAGGGUGGGCUAUGCCCAGCAAUGCCUGCCAAGAAUCCCUCCCAUUUCUCUAUCUGCAAUGGUUCCCCACUGAGAGCUGGAGUCAGUCUCUCCUGCCCGUGAGAGCACUUGUGCACGCGUGCACAGACACAGACACACACACACCCAUUGCCUAGCCAAGACGACCCACGAAAGUAACAAUCGCACUGCGUGUUCCCCUCUGUGUUCCAGUUGGCCCUACAAACUAGACGUUUCUGCCCCACGGUCAUGAUUUACCAUCAUCAAUAACACCAUUAGCAGAGUAAAUGCCACUCGAAGUCAGAGCCUGUCAAAGUAAACCGUCAGGUGCCUGAGCAAGUGGCAAGAAGGUACCAGUCACUCCCAAGCCACUGGGGAAUAAGCCUCAAGUGCAAGGUCAGCAGGCAUGGCUGAAAUGGACCAUCAGUGUUUCUGUCAGCAGGUGACAGUCACAAAGACGGCAGCGAGGGACGUCUACCUAAAGGCGGGAGGAAACUGAGGUUAGUGCCAGACCUGGCUGCCCCGCAGCUGGCGGUGUGAUCUCAGGCCGUACCUCUCCUCUCAGGCCUCAUUUCCACCGGGAAGCUUGGUGAUGCCCAAAGAACUGUCAGGUGCUUUUCAUGAUUCUCUUUGCUUUCAUCUGAAGCACUGGUCGUUGCCAUAGCAUUUACUUUUUACUUAAGCAUUUACUUUUCACUGGGCAUAAAGUCCAGCAAACUCUGCUUUGCCACUAGAAGGAAACCAGGGGCCAGAGGGUGUCACGGUUGUUGUGGUCACACAAUAAGUCACGGAUGGAACCUCCCAGCCAGUGCUCUUCUCCUCCGACUGGUUAAUGCCACUCUGUCCCCAUGCUGGAUUCUCACUUCGUAGGAAUUCACACCCUCCCACCACCUCUGGACGUGUAUCUUCCAGCCACCCAGCAGGUCCUCAAUUAACACAGACUGGGGGGAUGUUAUCGCCCGUCACUGGAAUGUGUCUCCUUGCCCCCACCAAAGCCAGCUGCUGCCUUCAAACUGGUAUCAAUCAGGCCAGGAAGUUUCUUUUUCCCUGCAACCUAUUGUAUGCAGGAGGAUCAGAGGGACCUGUCAAAUGAGGGAAGGAACCAGCUGGGCACCUGGAGAUACUGGCUGGCCGCUCUCAACUGACCCAUCCCAGCCCUGCUGGUUGCCUGGCCAGUCCCCUGUGCUGGGGACUCUGUGGACUGAUAGUGGGGACAAAAGGAGAAUCGUUGUGACACUCAAUCAGGAGCACUGUCAUCACCUAGAGGGAAGGGUCUGGUCCAAAGCCUGCUAGGAAACUGACCUCAGCCCCUUCCUAUAAACCCCCAGGCUUCAGUGCACCCAAGACCAAAGGGUGAGAUAGGCUCCUGAGGGCAGCAAGUCCAGGAAAACAAGUUUUUCUGAAGCUGCGGUGUGGACAUCAGAUGAGAAGAUCCCUCGGUCAUCUCACAAAUGAGAACACAAAGGCAGAAGAUAGCACCAAUGCGUUUCUAAGUAAACAGGGUGUGCAAGGCCCUGUUCUAUGUGCCUGACAUGCCGAUCGGCAGAAUACGGCCCCUUGGAGAUGCCGCUACCUGGAUGCCUGAAAUCUGUGGCUGGGCCAGGUGACGUGGCAAAGAGGAAUUAAGGUUGCAAGUGAAAAGAGAUCACUACGGCGCUGCCUUUAAUAUAGUGAGAUCACCCUGGAUUUUCUGUCAGCCCAAUGCAAUCAGCAGCACCCUUAAAAGAGGUAGAGGGAGGGAGAAGAAUCAGUCAGAGGACGCUGUGACUAAGGAAGAAGAGCAUGGAGAGAGGUCACGGGGCCGGCUUUGAAGGGGGAGGAAGGGGCCAUAAGCCUAGGAGUGUAGGCAGCCUUUAGAAGCUGGAAGAGCCAAGGAAACCCUGGAGUCUCCAGAAGGAAUCAGUCCUGUGUUCCUUGAUUUUAGCCCAGUGAGACCCACAGUGGAAUCUAACCUACAGAACUGUAAGAUAGUAAGUAUGUGUUGUUUUAAACCACGGAAUUUGUUGUGAAUUGCUAUGGCAGCAAUAAAAAAAACUAAUACUUGAACCAACUCCCUUAUUAAUAAUAAUAAUACUUUUUUUUUUUUGCCUUUUUGGACUGCUUAUGUGGCAUAUGUAAGUUCUCAGGCCAGGGGUUGAAUCAGAGCUGCAGCUGCUGGCCUACACCACAGCCACAGCAACACAGGAUACUUAACUCACUGAGCGAGGCCAGGGAUCGAACCCACAUCCUCAUGGUUACUAGUCAGGUUUAUUAUUGCUGAGCCACAACAGGAACUCACUAUUACUUAUAAUUUUUAUCAUAUUUGUCCACUAUGGCUACAAGUAUGCCACGUAACAAAACACCCUGGGCUCAGCAGCAAACAGUGAUAAGCAUUUGUUCUUACUCACACGCCUGCUCGUCAGCUAGCAGUUAGAUAAUACAGGGAAGGGUUGUGUGAACUUGACUCCAUGCCAGGUGUGAACUGUGAAUCUGCUCCAAGUCUC